rnacentral:rRNA from 1 species
CCUACGGGGGCAGCAGUGGGGAAUAUUGGACAAUGGGCGAAAGCCUGAUCCAGCCAUGCCGCGUGUGUGAAGAAGGCCUUCGGGUUGUAAAGCACUUUCAGUGGGGAAGAAAGCCUUGGGGCUAAUACCCUCGAGGAAGGACAUCACCCACAGAAGAAGCACCGGCUAACUCCGUGCCAGCAGCCGCGGUAAUACGGAGGGUGCGAGCGUUAAUCGGAAUUACUGGGCGUAAAGCGCGCGUAGGCGGUCUGAUAAGCCGGUUGUGAAAGCCCCGGGCUCAACCUGGGAACGGCAUCCGGAACUGUCAGGCUAGAGUGCAGGAGAGGAAGGUAGAAUUCCCGGUGUAGCGGUGAAAUGCGUAGAGAUCGGGAGGAAUACCAGUGGCGAAGGCGGUCUUCUGGACUGACACUGACGCUGAGGUGCGAAAGCGUGGGUAGCAAACAGGAUUAGAUACCCGGGUAGUC